CAGUUGAUUGCGGCCAACCAACCACCUGCUGGCGGACCCACAACCUCUCGGUCAAGUCAAUCAGAUCAUGACAAAGUCAUCCUGCAAUUUGGAAAGAUAGGCAAAGAUAUGUUCACUAUGGAUUACAGGUAUCCACUGUCUGCAGUUCAGGCUUUUGCUAUAUGCUUGAGCAGCUUUGACACCAAAUUGGCAUGUGAAUAGAAGGAAAACGUUGUUACCUUAGGAUGCAAAAAAAUUUAACCGCGAUGGCUUUGUUUUGGAUAUAUUUUAUUUUGUUUUUUAUUUUCGCCAGUAGAAUUAGGGGUUGUCCCUAAUCUUGUAAAAACCUGAUUUAAUCGCAACACUGAUCUUGUGAUCUUGUGCCAGUGGUGCCAAACACUUCAUGCUCUGGACUGUGCAAUGACACUCUGUUGACCACAGUUCUGGGCUGUUGACAUUGUGUGGCUAUCCAUGGGAAUUAUACACUUGGUCUGAUUAACUGAAAUGC
rnacentral:lncRNA from 1 species